GACGAGGGGUCCUAGCGUUGUUCGGAAUCACUGGGCGUAAAGCGUUUGUAGGCGGCUUUAUAAGUCGGAUGUGAAAUCCCAUGGCUCAACCAUGGAAGUGCAUUCGAAACUGCAGAGCUUGAAUAUGGUAGAGGAGAGUAGAAUUCCUGGUGUAGUGGUGAAAUACGUAGAUAUCAGGAGGAAUACCGGAGGCGAAGGCGGCUCUCUGGACCAAUAUUGACGCUGAGAAACGAAAGUGCGGGGAUCAAACAGG
rnacentral:rRNA from 1 species